GGGGUCUUAGCUCAGCUGGGAGAGCAUCUGCCUUACAAGCAGAGGGUCAUAGGUUCGAGCCCUAUAGGCC
rnacentral:tRNA from 1 species